rnacentral:rRNA from 1 species
CGGGGGGAGCAAGCGUUGUUCGGAUUUACUGGGCGUAAAGGGCGCGUAGGCGGCCACCGCAAGUCGACUGUGAAAUCUCCGGGCUUAACCCGGAAAGGUCAGCCGAUACUGCGGGGCUAGAGUGCAGAAGGGGCAACUGGAAUUCUCGGUGUAGCGGUGAAAUGCGUAGAUAUCGAGAGGAACACCUGCGGCGAAGGCGGGUUGCUGGGCUGACACUGACGCUGAUGCGCGAAAAGCUAAGGGGGAGCGAACGGGAUUAGAUACCCCGGUAGUCCUAGCCUUAAACGAUGAAUGCUUGGUGUCUGGGGUUCUAUAGUCCCCGGGUGCCGUCGCUAACGCUUUAAGCAUUCCGCCUGGGGAGUACGGUCGCAAGACUG